rnacentral:rRNA from 1 species
CCUACGGGCGGCUGCAGUGGGGAAUAUUGCACAAUGGGCGCAAGCCUGAUGCAGCCAUGCCGCGUGUGUGAAGAAGGCCUUCGGGUUGUAAAGCACUUUCAGCGGGGAGGAAGGCGUUAAGGUUAAUAACCUUGUCGAUUGACGUUACCCGCAGAAGAAGCACCGGCUAACUCCGUGCCAGCAGCCGCGGUAAUACGGAGGGUGCAAGCGUUAAUCGGAAUUACUGGGCGUAAAGCGCACGCAGGCGGUCUGUCAAGUCGGAUGUGAAAUCCCCGGGCUCAACCUGGGAACUGCAUUCGAAACUGGCAGGCUAGAGUCUUGUAGAGGGGGGUAGAAUUCCAGGUGUAGCGGUGAGAUGCGUAGAGAUCUGGAGGAAUACCGGUGGCGAAGGCGGCCCCCUGGACAAAGACUGACGCUCGGGUGCGAAAGCGUGGGGAGCAAACAGGAUUAGAUACCCGUGUAGUC